AUUUCUUUAGAAUAACUUUAGUUCAGAUGAUUUCCACUCAUCAAGUUCUUUUAAGAAAGAAAUA
rnacentral:tRNA from 1 species